AACACAAACUAAACUACUGAAGGAAGUUUUUCCCCAUCAAUUUGCGGGGAUUCUCGAACGGCAAGUCAAGCACAUCUCUGCAGCAAGCUAAGCCCAUUCCUCUAUCUGUGCAACAAGCCAUCCAGAGCUGCAAGCCAUAUUUGCAACAAGUUAUCCACAGCAAGUCAAGCCAUCCUCUCUGCAACGAGUCUUCCACGCCAACAGCACAGCAAACCAUUCCUCAAAUAUUCCACCCGUACCUUCUUAUAUUUCUCUUUUAGUUUUCAUUUUGUCAUCUGGUUCUUAACCUUUAUUAUGUCUAUAUAUUAGCCUUGUAAUCAAAACUAUGUAAUCAAAAUCAGCAAGAUGUAAUCUUUAGUUUUACCUUAUGUUCUUCUUUUCUUCUUCUUUCCCUUCUCUAUUUCUCCUUCCCAUUUAUUUUUGUUGGCUCUUUGUUGUAUUUCACUUUUCUUUUGUAAGCAUGCUGUUUUUGGACCUAUUUGUUGUAAUUUCUAUGUUUAGUUGCUAUUAAAAAAAAAAAAUUAAUUAGAAGUAAAAGUCAAACCGAAGGAAGUUCCUACUAUCAGUUUGUAGGGGAAUAUUAGAGGAUAUCCACGGCAGCAAGCAAGUCACCGCUCCACUGCACCAAGCCAUCCCCAAAUCUGCAGCAACCACUCCUCUAUCUCAACCCAUACCUUCGAGCCAUACCCAUUUGUAUUUCUUCUUUAGUUUAUGUUUUUGUACUCUAGUGUUUAACCUUUGUUAAGUGUAUAUAUUAGACCAUUUUGUAACAGAAUAGGCAAUGAAAUCAGCAACAAUGUAGUCCUUAAUUUUACCUUGUGUUUGUCUUCUUCUUCCCUCUUCUCCUUCUCUGUGUUCACUGUCUUCCCUUUAUCUUUUAUUUCUAACACGGAGCACCGCCCACAGCCGAGCAGGAGCGCCGACCACCGCAUUCUCUCUCUACAGUCUCUGUCUCUGAAAUAAGGAUUAUGAAGACUCUGGUAAUUCAAUCUUUGAACGGAUUUCUCGUUGUUACCCUGUCUCCUUCAUUGAUAAGGCACAUUUGGAAAAGGGUGAUAAAAGGUCCAGCAACUUUAGACAUAGAGUACCCUAUAUUAUUUGAACUAAUUAAGAAAUCCUUCUGCUGGACGAGUUAGUCAAUGUGGAGUCCUAGAAUUUGUUGCUGAUGAGGGACUGAUAUAUUUACCAUGCUGGAGGGAGACGUGGUGCAAGUGAAGAAUGCCAGCCUUGCAAAGGGAACAUAUGUGAAGCUGCAGCCCCACACCAAGGACUUCUUAGAUAUCUCCAACCCCAAAGCUAUGUUGGAAAGAUCAUUAAGGGGCUACUCUUGUUUAACCACUGGUGAUACCAUCAUGGUUGCUUAAGCACGACCAACCAGAGGGUCAAAAUGGAACCAAUUAUUCUAAGUCAACAAAUCCUGCCUCACAUCAACCCUCUGGAAGGCUUGUGUUUGGUUCAAAUGCAAACAAACCUGAAAAGGAAGCACCAAAAGUUGCCCCAAAGAACAACAAUCAAGAGCUGCAGCAGAAGAUAGAAGAGCCAAAGUUUCAAGCAUUCACGGGGAAAAAGUAUUCACUGAAAGGAUAAUCAUAGUUAAGCUUUUCUCCUCCCGUCCCUUUAAUAGAUAUGAGAUAGAAUCAAAGUCAUUUUGGCAAUGAAAGAUUCAUACAGUAAGAUUAAAUCUACAUGCAAGUUGUAAAUUAAUCUUUGUGGUAUCCACUAAUUAACUUAAAUUAUUAGGAGAUCUCAUUUACUUGAUGUAAGUGUAAGGUUUUUAAGCAUUACCUGCAAAGUUGAUAUAUAUUCCAUUGU